rnacentral:rRNA from 1 species
CGCGCAGGCGGUUUUAUAAGUCUGGUGUGAAAGCCCACGGCUCAACCGUGGAGGGUCACUGGAAACUGUAAGACUUGAGUAUAGGAGAGGAAAGUGGAAUUCCAUGUGUAGCGGUGAAAUGCGUAGAUAUAUGGAGGAACACCAGUGGCGAAGGCGACCUUCUGGCCUAUAACUGACGCUGAGGCGCGAAAGCGUGGGGAGCAAACA